AUUGAACGCUGGCGGCAUGCCUUACACAUGCAAGUCGAACGGUAACAGGUCUUCGGACGCUGACGAGUGGCGAACGGGUGAGUAAUACAUCGGAACGUGCCCAGUCGUGGGGGAUAACUACUCGAAAGAGUAGCUAAUACCGCAUACGAUCUGAGGAUGAAAGCGGGGGACCUUCGGGCCUCGCGCGAUUGGAGCGGCCGAUGGCAGAUUAGGUAGUUGGUGGGAUAAAAGCUUACCAAGCCGACGAUCUGUAGCUGGUCUGAGAGGACGACCAGCCACACUGGGACUGAGACACGGCCCAGACUCCUACGGGAGGCAGCAGUGGGGAAUUUUGGACAAUGGGCGAAAGCCUGAUCCAGCAAUGCCGCGUGCGGGAUGAAGGCCUUCGGGUUGUAAACUGCUUUUGUACGGAACGAAAAAGCUCCUUCUAAUACAGGGGGCCCAUGACGGUACCGUAAGAAUAAGCACCGGCUAACUACGUGCCAGCAGCCGCGGUAA
rnacentral:rRNA from 1 species